AGUCUGGUGCCAGCAGCCGCGGUAACACCAGCUCCAAUAGCGUAUAUUAAAGUUGUUGCAGUUAAAAAGCUCGUAGUUGGAUUUCUGGUCUGGAUUGCCUGGUCCGUCCCAAACGGGAUGUUGACCGGUUGUGGUCCAGCCAUUCUUCGUGGAGAACUUAAUGGCUCUUGACUGAGUUUCAUUAAGGGAUCCCGAUCAUUUACUUUGAGAAAAUUAGAGUGUUCAAAGCAGGCUUAUGCCUUGAAUACAUUAGCAUGGAAUAAUAAGAUAAGACUUUGGUCUUGUUUUGUUGGUUUCUAAGACUGAAGUAAUGAUUGAUAGGGAUAGUUGGGGGUGCUCGUAUUCAACGGCCAGAGGUGAAAUUCAGUGAUUCGUUGAAGACGAACUUAUGCGAAAGCAUUCACCAAGGAUGUCUUCUUUAAUCAAGAACGAAAGUUGCGGGAGCGAAGACGAUCAGAUACCGUCGUAGUCUCAACCAUAAACGAUGCCGACUAGGGAUUGGUGGAUGUUAGUUUUUGACUCCAUCAGCACCUUCCGAGAAAUCAAAGUCUUUGGGUUCCGGGGGGAGUAUGGUCGCAAGGCUGAAACUUAAAGGAAUUGACGGAAGGGCACCACAAGGAGUGGAGCCUGCGGCUUAAUUUGACACAACACGGGAAAACUUACCAGGUCCAGACAUAGUAAGGAUUGACAGAUAGCAGCUCUUUCUUGAUUCUAUGGGUGGUGGUGCAUGGCCGUUCUUAGUUGGUGGAGUGAUCUGUCUGGUUGAUUCCGUUAACGAACGAGACCUCAGCCUGCUAAAUAGCUGAGCCAAUGUUGCAUUGGCGAUCAACUUCUUAGAGGGACUUUGGGUGUCGAGCCCAAGGAAGUUUGAGGCAAUAACAGGUCUGUGAUGCCCUUAGAUGUUCUGGGCUGCACGCGCGCUACACUGGUGCAUUCAACGAGCUUACAACCUUGAUCGAGAGAUCUGGGUAAUCUUUGAAAAUGCACCGUGCUUGGGCUAGAUUAUUGCAAUUAUUAAUCUUAAACGAGGAGUUCCUAGUAAGCGCGAGUCAUCAGCUCGCACUGAUUACGUCCCUGCCCUUUGUACACACCGCCCGUCGCUCCUACCGAUUGAAUGAUCCGGUGAAAUCAACGGACUGCGGCGAAUAUGCAUUCGUGCAUUGUUCAGCUGUCGGGAAGUGGAUUAAACCUUAUCAUUU
rnacentral:rRNA from 1 species